rnacentral:rRNA from 1 species
AUUGAACGCUGGCGGCAGGCCUAACACAUGCAAGUCGAACGAGUGGCGGACGGGUGAGUAAUGUCUGGGAAACUGCCUGCUGGAGGGGGAUAACUACUGGAAACGGUAGCUAAUACCGCAUACCCUCGUCUGUGCCCCGAUGGGAUUAUAUAGUGGGUGGGGUAAAGGCUCACCUAGGCGACGAUCCCUAGCUGGUCUGAGAGGAUGACCAGCCACACUGGAAAUGAGACACGGUCCAGACUCCUACGGGAGGCAGCAGUGGGGAAUAUUGCACAAUGGGCGCAAGCCUGAUGCAGCCAUGCCGCGUGUGUGAAGAAGGCCUUCGGGUUGUAAAGUACUUUCAGCGGGGAGGCGUUACCCGCAGAAGAAGCACCGGCUAACUCCGUGCCAGCAGCCGCGGUAAUAC